rnacentral:pre_miRNA from 9 species
CCCUAUCCCCUAUGGAUUUGAGCUUAUGACCUCUUAAGAGGUCACAAGCUCAAAUCCAGAGGGGGGUAGGGU